rnacentral:rRNA from 1 species
CCUACGUGAGGCUGCAGUGAGGAAUAUUGGUCAAUGGGCGGAAGCCUGAACCAGCCAAUUCGCGUGAGGGACUAAGGCCCUACGGGUCGUAAACCUCUUUUGCCGGGGAUCAGUGCCCAGCUCGCAAGCUGGGAGGGAGCGUACCCGGAGAAAAAUCAUCGGCUCACUCCGUGCCAGCAACCGCGGUAAUACGGAGGAUGCGAGCGUUAUCCGGUUGUAUUGGGUUUAAAGGGUGCGUAGGCGGGCCUUCAGGCCGGCGGUAAAAUUGCGGGGCGCAACACCGCCGAGUCGUCGGCAACGGGGGCCUUGAGUACCGGAGAAGUACGCGGAAUGCGUGGGGUAGCGGUGAAAUGCAUAGAUAUCACGCAGAACCCCGAGUGCGAAGGCAGCGGACCGGCCGGUCACUGACGCUGAGGCACGAAAGCGCGGGUAUCGAACAGGAUUAGAUACCCUAGUAGUC